CCGGUCCGCGCUGCACAGUACGCUCAAAGCAGCAGCAUUCAUAAGCUGCAAAAGGAGGAAGCUGCCCAGACAGCUGUCCAUGAGUGUCUGGCUGCCUCAACAAACGCCAGGCUAUCCGUGCGGUGGAAUGUUAACCGGAGAAAGGAAGGCGUGGGGCUCCAGCCACGGCUCAGCAGCAACCAGCCAGCAACCUCCCGCGCCUCGCCUCGCCCCAGCGUUUAUAUACCAACUAAAGAGUCCCCAGAAUUCAAACCACCGCACAGCCCCAGGAACUGUCUGCGGCGGGUACAAUCACUGCGAGAGCACGAGGCAAAGCAGAGUCGGCUGUACAGUCCCAUGUCCCCACACCUGGGAUUAAAAGGAAAACAAACCCAAAGUCCAGCAUUCUCACUACCAAGCCUCGUCCCAGGCUGGCUUCAAACUCACCGUGUGAACUCCUGCUCUGCUCCCCGCGCCUGAGCGCUGAGAUUACUGGCGCGGACGCACGCCCUGUUCAUGACGCGAGCUGCAGAUAGAACCCAGGGCUUCACUCCACCAGCUGAGCCGCAGCCCCACCUAGGUUGCUAAGGAGGAGAUGAAGAAUGUUCUGCGCAUGAUGGAGGCAGCAGAUGCACAGCGACUGUGUCGGUGCCAGUGGACCGGUCACGUGGAAAUGACUUCAGGGGCAGCUCCCCCGACCUCCUGGUGCCGGGUGUUGAGCCCAGUGCCUUGUGCUUGCAAGACAAACAUGUCUCCGGGUACAUUCCUGCUCCCCAAAAAACGCUUUUUACAUACACCAUGUAAGCAAUGUGAUCAUUUGAAUUUUAAAUAUAUAUAAAAUCUC